GGAUCGAUCAAGGGCAGGGAAAACAAGGGUUUACCCUUGUUCUUGCAAAAUUCACCAAUUGACAAGGAAAAAUCAAAGUUUAAUUGCUGCAUGUUCUAAAGUUUCAAUCAUCUAAGCAUAUCUAGUGAAGUGGCGUGAAGGAAGAAGGUUCAAAUUCCAAGAAAUCGGAAGGAUCACAAGACCGAGGUAAAUCCACGACUUGGGCGAUUGGACGGCUUGGAACGUGCACACUUGAUCUACGCCCGCCUCACGCUUCCGUCACAAAUUAUUUUGAUAUGGGUUAAAUUUUUGGUCAUAUGUACUUAAGCUUAUGUAGUAUGUCGAUGUCCUUGUCGUUGGGUAAAAACUUAGUAGUUGUAGUCUUGUCGUGUUCAAUGUAAACUUUGUCUGUCUUGGGUUUUGUCAAAGAUGUUAAAUGUUGAAGUUUGUUUGUGUAAAACAGGUAAUUAGUGGUUUUAAAUGAAUAGUUCAUGCCG